rnacentral:rRNA from 1 species
UACAGAGGGUGCGAGCGUUGUCCGGAAUCACUGGGCGUAAAGGGCUCGUAGGCGGCCAACUAAGGCACACGUGAAAUCCCCAGGCUUAACCUGGGAACUGCGUGUGAUACUGGAUGGCUUGAAUCCGGGAGAGGGAUGCGGAAUUCCAGGUGUAGCGGUGAAAUGCGUAGAUAUCUGGAGGAACACCGGUGGCGAAGGCGGCAUCCUGGACCGGUAUUGACGCUGAUGAGCGAAAGCCAGGGGAGCAAACGGG